rnacentral:lncRNA from 1 species
UCCAUCAUUAGCUGAACAUCGACUAUCCACAGCAAACCUUCACUACUGGCUCGCCAUUUUCAGCCAUCACCGAAAGCCAUCGUAUUAAUACCACCAAACAAUGCCUUGAGCAUUAAGAACAGUUGAGAUAAGUCUGGAGAUUCGAAUACAUUACCGGAGAAGCGAUGAUAUGCACACUUAUGAUCAUCAUCCAUUUUCCUUCAUCGAAGAUAGCCAAUUAACCAACGUGAGAUUGUACGGUGCCCAGAAAGACCAAAAAGAAAUGGUCAGAUUUGGCUCUGGUGAUGAUGAAUAUGAAUUAAAUGGAAUUAAAUGGACAACAAAUCAAUCGUUUGUAAGCUAUAUUAUUCACACAUCCAGCAAAUCCUGCACUGACUUUUAUUCAUAUUCUCAUAGGCACAUAAUCGAAUAGGUUAUGGGCAAUUGGUCGAGCGAGAGAUUCUAACCAUUGUGAGCUCAGAUUCCGAAUUAAAUUGAGACUAUGACGAAUGUGGGUUAUCCGCACUUGAACGACAAAUCUCAGCACGCUCAAUUUCACAUCAUCGGAGAAGGCAUCAUUCUAAAUAACAAUUCUACAGCCAAACCGAGUAAAACUAAAUGGAAAACCAUUGAAACUACCUGGUUUAUGAUGUUUGUACUGUGACGGACAAUCGAGUCGGCUACAAGAUCGUUUGCGAUUCACCGACGAACGAAAUCUUGGCUUCUCGAAGAAUUGUCGAACGAAACCUGCUUUCCUCUGUCACAUGAUGUACGGGUUAAUACCUCUAAAUCUAUUUCCCCCCCAAUAGUAGUCACGACACCCUCGAAUCUGCUCGGCCAAGAGCAGAAUCAAACCGAGACCAACGUGAGUCCGGCUCUUCAGUAAACACAACUAAGAUGAGGAACGGCAAACUCCAGCAAACAGCGGCUAAUGGCGGUUGCUGAACGGUAAGUUGAUUAUCUAACAAAAAUAAGGUGUCGACACACGUGAAUAAUUUUUGUAAUUUUUUCUUUAUUUUCCUUUUUUUCUUUUUCCUUUUCUCUUCAUGCUCGUCAAUGGCCGAUGACCUCCAUCAGCCUCGUGUGAGGGCCGGGCUUCACCAGACUGGGCAGGGGUGUGAGUUGCCCUCACCAAAUAGGCAGAUAGGGAGAGGGCGGGCCACGCCCCGCCAAGGAGGGCGUUCCUCGCCAGCACAGGUGAAGGCAUCCCUUGUCAGACAGCAGCGCUCCUUGAGGCUGGCGAACUUCCACCAGCCAUUAACAAGGCUUAGUGAUGGCCGACAAAGGAAAAAAAAAAAUAAAAAAAAUUAAAAUAUUAUAAAAAUUAUUCAUGUUAACACUAAUCAUGUUAUAUAUAAUGGCUAGCGUUGAGUAUGUACCACUACAUCAACAAUUUUUUUAUUGUCGCUAAAAGAUUUAGAACGAAAUUGACAGAUAAGGAAAAUGUUCGGAACUAAAUUAGUAUAAUUAAAAGGUUCGUGAUUAAAUGAAUAAGUUGUCAAAAUAUUUAUGCUUAAAUUGGCACAAUCAAAAGGUUUAGAAUUAAACUGACCCAUAUAAUAAAUUCAGGAAUGUUUGAAUAAUUUUCCCUAAAUUUCUCCAUAUAACACUUUCUUAUACUCAAAGUGACAGUAGACUCCCCAUGUUUCAUCCGCCAACCGAUGGUCAUUGUGCAAUUUCAUGGGGGCAUUCAUCACUUUCAUCAUGAAGGCCAUUCUAAUUAUUUCACAUGCUUGAAUUAUUACACGAUUCAAUAAUUAUUACAAUUUUAUGUCUCGAAUUAUCUUUUAAUCGGAGAGUAAAGAUUCAUGAUGAUGUGUGGACCCACGUUAGAGCCCAGCGUAAAUUUCGGUAUAGAAUUAGAUUGAUAUGAUUAUCUAUCAACUUUAAAGUGAAGUUGACGUCACGACAACAUUUACAAUAAUAAAACUAAAAUAGUCUUAGCGCAGGUACAAUCAGUACAUACAGAGAAGCCGUAGUACCAGAGCUUGAAAAGAUGCAAGUACAGAACUGUCCAAUACUAUUGUUGAAUCUUUGAUUACUUGAAACUGAGAUUACUCUGAUGCAAUCGAUUGGAGUAAUUUGCACUUUGGCUUAAUCUCUCAUGACCGGUAAAAGAACGAGUUCAAAUUCCCCCAUUACUCUGUAUAAUCCAACCUGAAUUUGACCAUGCUGUCCGAGAUCGUCCCCCGACUUGCAAUUGGAGUCCGUGACAAAAACAUGUCAACAAUCACACAUGUAAUCGCUUGAGGACGGAUCGACUAGUUUAGAUCAAAAUCAAGCAACGCCGAACCCAGUCUGAUAUGCGAAAACUGAUCCAAUAGACGGUCUCAUAGGAAGCAAAAGACAGAAGGGAAGAAAAAAAAAAGGAACCUUCAAUACCCACCUCAGCGAACCCAGAAUGCUAAACUUCUGAAAAGAUCAUAGAUGACAAGUUUGUGCAAGGCUCAAGGCAACGUCCAUUGCACAAGCAGACUCACUUCACUCAGAAGAGACAGCUCUUGUAAUGGGCAUUGUCCUGAGCCUUGCGCAGACCCUGCCAACGCAGAAACGACUCCAACGAGAGAGAGCUCGAACCCUCCGGGAGACUGGAGAACUCUUUCGGGCUUUUAUUCGAAGGCUGUGUGGAUGGGUCCACUGGACCUGACCUGGGAGAAAGGUUGCGGAGUUCACUUAUAAGGGUUGGGCCAUUGUACUACCGCUGCGGGGUUCGGUACUAUCACACGGAGGGGAACGUGUACUAUGCUCGAAUCUCG